rnacentral:rRNA from 1 species
UACGAAGGGGGCUAGCGUUGCUCGGAAUCACUGGGCGUAAAGCGCACGUAGGCGGCUUUUUAAGUCAGAGGUGAAAUCCUGGAGCUCAACUCCAGAACUGCCUUUGAUACUGGAGAGCUUGAGUCCGGGAGAGGUGAGUGGAACUGCGAGUGUAGAGGUGAAAUUCGUAGAUAUUCGCAAGAACACCAGUGGCGAAGGCGGUCUCCUGGAGCAGACUUGACGCUGAGGCGCGAAAGCUGGGGGAGCGAACGGG